rnacentral:tRNA from 1 species
CCCCUGGUGGUCCUGUGGUUAGGACUCAGCACUUUCACUGUCAGGGCCCAGGUUCAAUCCCUGGUCAGGGAA